rnacentral:rRNA from 1 species
UACAGAGGGUGCGAGCGUUAAUCGGAAUUACUGGGCGUAAAGGGCGCGUAGGCGGAUUGAUGGGUGUGAUGUGAAAGCCCUGGGCUUAACCUGGGAAGUGCAUCGCAAACUGUGAAUCUGGAGUAGAUGAGAGGGUGGCGGAAUUUCCGGUGUAGCGGUGAAAUGCGUAGAGAUCGGAAGGAACGUCGAUGGCGAAGGCAGCCACCUGGCAUCAUACUGACGCUGAGGCGCGAAAGCGUGGGGAGCGAACAGG